CAGGCCUAACACAUGCAAGUCGAACGGUGAAGCAGAGCUUGCUCUGUGGAUCAGUGGCGAACGGGUGAGUAACACGUGAGCAAUCUGCCCCAAACUCUGGGAUAAGCACUGGAAACGGUGUCUAAUACCGGAUACGAGCUGCGAAGGCAUCUUCAGCAGCUGGAAAGAACUUCGGUUUGGGAUGAGCUCGCGGCCUAUCAGCUUGUUGGUGAGGUAAUGGCUCACCAAGGCGUCGACGGGUAGCCGGCCUGAGAGGGUGACCGGCCACACUGGGACUGAGACACGGCCCAGACUCCUACGGGAGGCAGCAGUGGGGAAUAUUGCACAAUGGGCGCAAGCCUGAUGCAGCAACGCCGCGUGAGGGGUGACGGCCUUCGGGUUGUAAACCUCUUUUAGCAGGGAAGAAGCGAAAGUGACGGUACCUGCAGAAAAAGCGCCGGCUAACUACGUGCCAGCAGCCGCGGUAAUACGUAGGGCGCAAGCGUUAUCCGGAAUUAUUGGGCGUAAAGAGCUCGUAGGCGGUCUGUCGCGUCUGCUGUGAAAACUGGAGGCUCAACCUCCAGCCUGCAGUGGGUACGGGCAGACUAGAGUGCGGUAGGGGAGAUUGGAAUUCCUGGUGUAGCGGUGGAAUGCGCAGAUAUCAGGAGGAACACCGAUGGCGAAGGCAGAUCUCUGGGCCGUAACUGACGCUGAGGAGCGAAAGGGUGGGGAGCAAACAGGCUUAGAUACCCUGGUAGUCCACCCCGUAAA
rnacentral:rRNA from 1 species